rnacentral:rRNA from 1 species
UACGGAGGAUCCGAGCGUUAUCCGGAUUUAUUGGGUUUAAAGGGUGCGUAGGCGGACUGGUAAGUCAGCUGUGAAAGCCCCGAGCUUAACUUGGGAAUUGCAUCUGAAACUGGUUGGCUAGAGUCUUGUAGAGGGGGGUAGAAUUCCAUGUGUAGCGGUGAAAUGCGCAGAUAUUAGGAGGAAUACCGGUGGCGAAGGCGACUUUCUGGCCAUUAUCUGACGCUGAGGUACGAAAGCGUGGGUAGCAAACAGG